GGAUUAGAUACCCUGGUAGUCCACGCCGUAAACGAUGUCAACUAGCCGUUGGGGAACUUGAUUCUUUAGUGGCGCAGCUAACGCACUAAGUUGACCGCCUGGGGAGUACGGCCGCAAGGUUAAAACUCAAAUGAAUUGACGGGGGCCCGCACAAGCGGUGGAGCAUGUGGUUUAAUUCGAUGCAACGCGAAGAACCUUACCAGGUCUUGACAUCCUAGGAACUUGGCAGAGAUGCCUUGGUGCCUUCGGGAGCCUAGAGACAGGUGCUGCAUGGCUGUCGUCAGCUCGUGUUG
rnacentral:rRNA from 1 species